ensembl:rRNA 5S_rRNA 5S ribosomal RNA
UGCCACAGCCAUGUCACCCUGCAGCCGAAUACCGGCUACUCACUGAAGCUAAGCAGGGCUACGCCUGGUCAGUACCUGGAUGGGAGACCACAUGGGAAAACUAGGUUGCUGUUGGAA